rnacentral:rRNA from 1 species
CCUACGGGUGGCAGCAGUGAGGAAUAUUGGUCAAUGGGCGCUAGCCUGAACCAGCCAAGUAGCGUGAAGGAUGAAUGCCCUACGGGUUGUAAACUUCUUUUAUAUGGGGAUAAAAUGCUGUAUGUAUACUGCUUUGCAUGUACCUUAUGAAUAAGGAUCGGCUAACUCCGUGCCAGCAGCCGCGGUAAUACGGAGGAUUCGAGCGUUAUCCUGAUUUAUUGGGUUUAAAGGGAGCGUAGGCGGGUUGUUAAGUCAGAUGUGAAAGUUUGCGGCUCAACCGUAGAAGUGCAGUUGAUACUGGCAUCCUUGAGUGCAGUAGAGGUAGGCGGAAUUCGUGGUGUAGCGGUGAAAUGCUUAGAUAUCACGAAGAACUCCGAUUGCGAAGGCAGCCUGCUGGACUGCAACUGACGCUGAUGCUCGAAAGUGUGGGUAUCAAACAGGAUUAGAUACCCGUGUAGUC